CCUACGGGAGGCAGCAGUGAGGAAUAUUGGUCAAUGGACGAGAGUCUGAACCAGCCAAGUAGCGUGAAGGAUGACUGCCCUAUGGGUUGUAAACUUCUUUUAUAAAGGAAUAAAACGAGGCACGUGUGCCUUUUUGCAUGUACUUUAUGAAUAAGGAUCGGCUAACUCCGUGCCAGCAGCCGCGGUAAUACGGAGGAUCCGAGCGUUAUCCGGAUUUAUUGGGUUUAAAGGGAGCGUAGAUGGGUUGUUAAGUCAGUUGUGAAAGUUUGCGGCUCAACCGUAAAAUUGCAAUUGAUACUGGCAGUCGUGAGUACAGUUGAGGUAGGCGGAAUUCGUGGUGUAGCGGUGAAAUGCUUAGAUAUCACGAAGAACCCCGAUUGCGAAGGCAGCUUACUAAACUGUGACUGACAUUGAUGCUCGAAAGUGUGGGUAUCAAACAGGAUGAGAUACCCUUGUAGUC
rnacentral:rRNA from 1 species